rnacentral:rRNA from 1 species
AUUGAACGCUGGCGGCAUGCUUUACACAUGCAAGUCGAACGGCAGCACGGGUGCUUGCACCUGGUGGCGAGUGGCGGACGGGUGAGUAAUGCAUCGGAACGUGUCCUGAAGUGGGGGAUAACGCAUCGAAAGAUGUGCUAAUACCGCAUAUUCUCUGAGGAGGAAAGUAAGGGGAGUCGAAAGACCUUAUGCUUUGGUAGCGGCCGAUGUCUGAUUAGCUAGUUGGUAGGGUAAUGGCUUACCAAGGCGACGAUCAGUAGUUGGUCUGAGAGGACGACCAGCCACACUGGGACUGAGACACGGCCCAGACUCCUACGGGAGGCAGCAGUGGGGAAUUUUGGACAAAUGGGCGCAAGCCUGAUCCGGCAAUGCCGCGUGAGUGAAGAAGGCCU